rnacentral:rRNA from 1 species
AGUGGCGCACGGGUGCGUAACGCGUAGGAACCUGCCUUUAGGUUCGGAAUAACAGUUAGAAAUGACUGCUAAUACCGGAUGAUGUCUUCGGACCAAAGAUUUAUCGCCUUUAGAUGGGCCCGCGUUGGAUUAGAUAGUUGGUGGGGUAAUGGCCUACCAAGUCGACGAUCCAUAGCUGGUCUGAGAGGAUGAUCAGCCACACUGGGACUGAGACACGGCCCAGACUCCUACGGGAGGCAGCAGUGGGGAAUAUUGGACAAUGGGCGAAAGCCUGAUCCAGCAAUGCCGCGUGAGUGAUGAAGGCCUUAGGGUUGUAAAGCUCUUUUACCAGGGAUGAUAAUGACAGUCCUGGAGAAUAGCUCCGGCUAACUCCGUGCCAGCAGCCCGCGGUAAUACGGAGGGAGCUAGCC